UUUAGUAUUGUUUUGGACAAAAAUAUGUAUCAAAAAUGCGAAACACACAUUUCAGGGGAAGCAUGCUGAGUCCAAAUAUACACCUAGUUUAUAGGCAUUUUGUAGAUAAAUUGUAAAUUAUUUUUAUUCUGAUUGUAGAUGCUUUAUUUUUUGUUUUCACAAAUAAAAAAAACGACUAAAACUUCUACAAAUCUUCUAAAAAAUACAAUUAUGUCAAAAAUCAUAAUUAUGCUAUAAUUGAAUGGAAAUUGGGAUAUUAAAAUCAAUGUACCUAGUUUGUAGAUAUUUUGCAGAUAAUUUGUAGAUUAUUUGUAUUCCGAUUGUAGAUGCUUUGUUUUCUAUUUUCACAGAUAAAAAACGACUAAAACUUCUACAGAUCUUCUGAAAAAGCAAUUGUGUUGAAAAUCCUAAUAAUGCUACAAUUGAAUGGGAAUUGGGAUAUUAAAA
rnacentral:lncRNA from 1 species